UAUUGAAAUAAACCUGAUGGGUUGUUGCUGGUUCUCUAGGGAGCAUGUGCACGCCUUGUCAUCUUUAUAUCUCCACCUGUGCACUUUUUGUAGACCUUUCCAGGUCUAUGUUGCUUCAUUAUACCCCAAUUGUAUGUCAUUAGAAUGUUGUGCCUAUAUAAUUUAUACAACUUUCAGCAACGGAUCUCUUGGCUCUCGCAUCGAUGAAGAACGCAGCGAAAUGCGAUAAGUAAUGUGAAUUGCAGAAUUCAGUGAAUCAUCGAAUCUUUGAACGCACCUUGCGCUCCUUGGUAUUCCGAGGAGCAUGCCUGUUUGAGUGUCAUUAAUAUAACCUCAAACCUUUCUUUUGUUGAAGGGUUUGGAUGUGGGGGUUUGCUGGCCUCUUUAAAAGGUUCAGCUCCUCUGAAAUGCAUUAGCAGAACAACCUUGCUCAUUGGUGUGAUAACUAUCUACGCUUAUGUAUGUGAGGGGCAGUUCAGCUUUCUAACCGUCUUUCUGGGACAAUUCAUCAUUAAUGUGACCUCAAAUCAGGGAGGGUUUUCCCGGUGAACUUAAGCAUAUCAAUAAGCGGAGGAAGUUACAUGGUCUUGUGGAGGAAUUUUUUUUGGUAUUGAGAGGAAAGUAUUUGAUAUGUUAAGGAAAUCAAUUUUACUGU
rnacentral:rRNA from 1 species